UCUCAAUUUAGAGAUUGGAUUAAAAUACUCUAAAAAAAAAAAAAAACGAUCUUGUCUUCUCGUUUUUUUGCCGCUUUGAGCAUAAAUUUCACAAAAGACAUAAGACAUUACGAUAUACAAACAAGUUAUAUGUGUGAAGUGGUCGGCAUGCACGCUUAUAUUUUGAAACCUAUUAAUUUCACACUGAGAGAAAGAAAAACAGAUUGGAUAACAUAAUCAUCAGAUGAUGAGAGGCAGUUGGCCCUUUCCCAUGUCUUGGAGUAUGAUAGCUUUUGCUGAGAAGAAAUGGUUACGGGAAAAGCCCAGAGGAGGCCGGAGGGGUGGAGAGGCCAUGGACACAGCAUCAGGAUCUCCCCAGUCUCAGGGUCAGCCUGCCUUGUAAUGAAAGCGCCAGUGAUGUGUGACACAGAAUACAAAAAUGACUGCCUAGACGACCAGAAUGAAAAGCAGGACUUCUGGGUGAUGGUCAAAGCAUUUACCAACAGGUCUUCAGAAUGCUUGGUCACAACUGAUUUAUUAUAAUAUCUAUAGUAUCAUUAUUAUAGUAUAUAUAGUAUUUGCAUUAAAAAUGUCAUAAUUGAGAGAAUGACACUUAAUGACAGAUGUCUUAAACAAGCAUAACACCUCCCUCAUAUUCAUGACAUGUAUCAUGUCAGUCUUAUGCACACCCCUUCAUGUAAAGUGUUACCAACAAGCUUGAAUAUACUAGAGUAGAGUAAAUGAAUUUGACCUAAGCUAACUAAAUUGUGUUCAUGCAACUAAACUGAAACUUAACUUCUUUAAGUUUAAUUUCAUUUGAAAUGUAAAAACUUCAAUUAAAUCAAGUACGGGUAAUAAAUUAAUUUUAUGAGUGAUAGCACGCAGCUUUGAGCCCAGAUGAACAAACAAGUUCAAACAAGACGGGCAUUAAUGGGACAGUCAUAUCACUUAUUACACAGCUUUUCACAACAUAAAUAAAGACUGGGAUGCUAGAUAUUAA